AUGAGUUUGUGGUUUGGCUCCAGCAGUCCCGCCCCCGAGGGGGUCUCACCACAGACCAACAGCAUCAUCUGCACACCUGGUGCACCAGGCGGGAGGAACACGCAUGCUGCUUUCUGGUCCCUGCAGAAGCCCAGGAGGCAGCAGAGCAGCAGUACUGCAGUUCAGGCAACACUGCCAUCUACUGGUAGAUAUAUGUAAAUGGAGCUGGGCUGAUGACACGGUCACUAAGGCUGUCCAUCUGGCUAGAACCAGAUUGCCAUUAGACAGAAACCUUUUUCCAUAAUGAGAGCAUGAUGCUGAUUGUUAUUAGAGGAUACAUUCUGAUGAAAUCAUAAUACUGUAUUAGCUACUAUGCUACUAUCAUCAAGCUACUAUCACCAUGCUCCUAGCUAGCCACCCUCUUCACAGGUUGUCAUUCAUGCAUAUUUCAUCUGGG
rnacentral:lncRNA from 13 species